AUCCACCGUUAGAUUGAGUGGGUUAAUCCAACGGUCCAAGAACGACUAGGGAUAUAUGGGCUGAAUAUUGGGCUCGGUUUAAGUAGGCCUUCUAGGUAUAUUAAUAAUGGACCAUCUAUUGAUUCCAUAUUGGGUCUUUUUCAUCACUGCCUAUUAGUUGGACUGAUCAAAUGGCAUCACAGCCCAACAGAUCUCCACCUUGAUGCCAGUGAUCAUACAAGAAGCCUAAUAAAUGCAAAACACAAUUUAAAUGUCCUUCUCAAGAAGACAGCUUCCCAGUAUUCUCAACAAGCAUCAACCUUAGCACCUGUACAGAACAAAACACUUAACCAGCAUCAAUGUUCAAAAUUUGUAAACAAGACUUAAACUUGUUUAAAGGUAUUACCUUAGUACCUACAUCAGCUGGAUUAAACUGGAUUGCAAUUUUCUCAAGUAAAAUGAGUUCUUUAGAAACAACAUCUCUAAUAAAAUGCAACUUAACAUCAAUGUGUUUGGUUCUUUCAUGAAAGACAGGGUUUUUACAUAGGUGAAUUGCACUUUGACUAUCUGAAUAUAAAACAACAGGGUUACUCAAUUCAUUUAUUUCAGAUAACACGCUCUUAAGCCAUAAGUCUUCUUUUAUUGCUUCAGUUGCAGCAACAUACUCAGCUUCAGUAGUAGAUAAAGCAACAAUAGGUUGAAGUUGAGAUUUCCAACUAAUACAUGUAUUACACAAAGUAAGCAUAUAAGAAGUAGUAGAUUUUCUAUUGUCUCUAUCUCCGGCAAAAUCUGAAUCUACAAAACCCUUAAGUACAACACCUUCAUUACAGGCACUAAAAAUCAAACCAAUAUGUGAAGAUCCUUUCAAGUAUCUCAACAGCCAUUUUAGAGCAACCCAAUGGUCAGGUCCUGGAUUGGCCAUAAAUCUACUAAGUGUGCUAAUGGAAUGAGCUACAUCAGGCCUAGUACAUACCAUAGUUUACAUAACAGAGCCUACGGCAUUAGUAUAGGGUACAUUUUCCAUUUGUCUAAUGUCAGAUUCAUCUACAGGACAUUGCUCCUUACUAAGUUUAAAAUGGUUCGCCAAUGGAAGUGAAACAGAUUUAGAGUUAUGCAUGGCAAACUUAAUCAACAUUUUUUCAAUAUAUGCAGUUUGCUUCAAGUACAGUAACCUAUGGUACCUUUUCCUAGUGAUUACCAUUCCUAGAAUUCUCUUUGUAUGUCCUAGGUCUUUCAUUUCAAAUUCAGCACUUAAAGACCGUUUUAUCUGAUUAAUAACAUGCAUAUUCUGACCAAUCAGCAACAUAUCAUCCACAUAAAGAAGUAUAAAAGCAACAAUAGCAUUUUCAUCAUUUCUUUUAAAAUAAAGACAAUGAUCAUAUUCACUUCUUAUGAAACCAAUAGUAGAUACAAAAUUAUCAAACCUUUUGUACCAUUGUCGUGGAGAUUGCUUUAAAUUGUAUAAUGAUCCUUUUAACAAACACACAUGAUCAGAAUUAGUUUCAUCAAUAAAACCAGGUGGUCCCUCAUAUAAAUCACUUCAUCAAGGUCACCAUGCAAGAAAGCAGUUUUCACGUCCAUUUGUUCAAAUUCAAGAUCACAAUAAGCAACAAGAGCAAGCAUAACUCUAAUUGUUGUGUACUUUAUCACAGGUGAAAAUAUCUCAUUAUAGUCUAUGCCCUCUUUUUGCGUAAAUCCUCUCGCUACAAGUCUAGCCUUAAAUUUUAUGGGCAUCUUUUCAGUAUUUCCCUCCUUAACACUAAAGAUCCACUUGCAAUCAACAUGGGUCUUACCUGCUAGUUUAGGAACUAAAGUACAAGUCUCAUUUUUCAUUAAGGAGUCCAUAUCAUCUAUCAUAGCAGCAUGCCAUAUCUCAGACUGCUUGCUGCUCAUUGCCUCUUUAUAAGAUUUUGGUUCUUUAAACACUAAGUCUUGAUAGGACUAAACAGCAAGUGAAAGGUAAUUCACAUACCUAACAGGCUCUCUAACUUCUCUCCUAGUCCUAUCUCUAGCUAAUUGGUAAUCUCCCAAUUCAUCAGGCUGACUUUCCAGAUUUUCUUGAACAUUUUCCUCUUCAUUUUCUAGAGGACCAGAAGCUAUUUCAGCUUCUUCAUCCACCUGUUCAUCACUAACAGGUUCAGUAGGUAAGCCAAGCUCCACCUGCAGCUUGGUAUUAUCACCCCUUUCAUCACCAGAUAGCCCUUUUGGCUUCUUAUUUUCUAAACAAGGCAUUUUUGACUCAUCAAAGGUCAUAUCUCUGCUGGUGAUGAUUUUAAAACCUUUUACCUCUUUACUCCAAAGCUUAUAACCUUUAACCCCAUCGGGAUAUCCCAAGAAAACACAUUUCUGGGCCCUAGGUUCAAGUUUCCUAUACUCUGAUGGGAAUAGGCUGCACAACCAAAAAUUCUUAAAUGAGAAUAAUCAGGAACAUGUCCUGUCCAUAGCUCUUCUGGGGUUUUAUCACCUAGAGCACUUGAGGGGGUCCUAUUAAUAAUAUAUGAAGCUGUCAUUACAGCUUCACCCCAUAACACCUUAGGGACACUUGAGCCUAUCAACAUGCACCUAACCUUAUCUAGCAAGGUUCUAUUCAUCCUCUCAGCCACUCCAUUCUGCUGAGGCGUAUAAAGUACUGUUUUAUGCCUUUUACCAGAUUCUUUGCACAACUGAUCAAAUUCAGCAUUGUAAAACUCAAGGCCAUUAUUCGUCCUAAGGAUCUUAAUUUUCUUCCCAAUCUCAUUUUCAACUAGAAUCUUCCAAGUUCUGAAUUUCUCAAAUGUUUCAGAUUUAUGUUUCAACAAAUAAACCCAAACCUUCCUAAAAUAGUCAUCAAUCAAGGACAAGAAAUAUCUAUUUCCUCCUUGAGUGAUAAUGGAUGAAGGUCCCCACAAAUCAACAUGUAUAUACUCAAGGGUAGAAGUGGUUCUAUGUUUUCCUGUGUUAAAAUGCAGUCUAUGCUGCUUUCCUAAAGUGCAGUUUUCACAAAAAGAUACCUUAGAUAUAGAAUCCUUCCCAAACACAUCUUUCUUAUAAAGGAUGUGUAGACCCUUUUCACCUACAUGGGCCAAUCUCUUGUGCCACUUUAAGGUAGCAUCAGCUUCUACACUAGAAGACUCACCUAUAUGAUCAAACAUUGUACUAGCUUUGGUCACAUAAAUCCCAUUUCUUUUAACACCUUUAAAAAUAACAAGUGAUCCUUUUAUCACUUUCAAGAAACCAUCUCCUAUUUUUCCUUGCAAUCCUAUAUCAUCUAGAUUUCCCAUGGAAAUCAGAUUCCUAUUUAAUUCAGGAACAUACCUCAUCCUUUCAAGAGUGUAAAUGUAUCCAUUAUCGAAUUUCAAAGUGACAUUCCCAACUCCCUCAACUCUGCAGGCUACAUUAUUGCCCAUAACCACUUCUCCUCCAUCAAUUUUCUUAAAAUUGUCUAAAUAUGCCUUCUUAAAGGUCAUAUGGAAGGUACAACCAGAAUCCAAAAUCCAUUCUUGGUUCUGGUUCUCAUCAACAACAUUUGCAGAGCUAGGUAAAUUUUCAGUCACGUCAUAUACAUCAACUAUGGCAGAACCUUCAGAUUCUACCACAUUACCUUCAUCAACACCCUUAAGUUUCUGUUCAUUUUUCUUCUUAUAACAGUCUUUAAUAAAAUGUCCAGAUUUCCCACACCCAUAACACUUUUUAGUCCUAGUCCUUGACUUAGACCUGCCUCUACUUUUAAACUUUCUCCUACUGUUGUUUCCCUGAUUAUUAUUGUUUUCUUGAGUACCACUAGACCUACUUAAAGUCCUCCCUCUAGCAAACAAGUUUUCAUGGCCACUAUUACCUCUCUCAGACUUAAGUUCAAGUUCCUUACUCCUCAAAGAGUCUAUGACAAUAUCAGGUGUCAGAGUAUCUCUACCAUACUUAAUGGCGGCUUUAACCUCUUUGUAGGUGAUAUGAUUCAGGAGUCGAGCCCGAUGAAGGCAAGUGUGAGACGAGACCCGUUGAUAGUCGAUGGCGGAUCAAUGACGCGAUCAAGGACAAAGCAAGUGAAACAAGCGAUGGGAUUACUCGUUCAAGAAACCAUUGAUGGAACCAUGUUUGGAACUCAAAAUGGAGCAACUUUCAUGUUCGGGUCGAAGGCCGAAUCAACUUGGAUCAAUUUAUUAUCAAGCGACGAAAGCGAAAACUGAAAAGAAGUCCAUGCGGCCGCACAGGCAAAAUACCAUGCGGCCUCACACAUGCAUACCGAAAGCCAAAAGACUAAUUCCUGUUGAACCAUGCGACGGCAUGGAUUUACACCGUGCGGCCGCACAAGCCAAAAAAAUUGGCGAAUUUUCUAAUUUUGGCCAAAUUUCCUAGUUUCGAUAGAAUUCUUAUGAAAUCAAAUUAUUACCAUAAUUUGAUGGUUUUGGACAUUUUUAUUCAUUAGUAUAAAUAGGAGAAUAUUUUUUUAUUGUAACAACUUUGAAGUUUUGACUUUUGAAUUAAUAUUAUAGAGAGAGAAAUUUAUUCUUUCAAUUUAUUGUUCUUCUUGAACAAUUUUGGAACUUAUCAAGAUUCAACUUCUUGUGGCGUUCUAAUCAAUCGGAUUGUGGGUUCUUUUAAUUGUAAUUCAAGGGGUUUUAGGUUCUUCGCUAAUCUAGGGUUUCUUGGUUUAAUUCUUGGGGUUCAAGAUCCAAAAUCGGGUUAGUAUUGGCGUUCUUGGGUUCCGCAUCAAUCUCGUUGUGGGUUUCGUAGUUUCCAUUGCUACGGGGUUCGCAUCAGUAGGCUUCAGGUAUAGCAUUAAGUAGUACUACAGCCUUAUACUCAUCAGAAACUUUCUCACCUGUACUAAUAAUGUCUUGAACUAACUUAUUAAAAAUGUCUAAGCUAUCUUCUAAGUCUCUAGUUGGAUCUAUCCUAAAGAUGAAAAAUUUCUCUAAUAGAAACAACUUAUUAUGCAAAGACUUAGGUAGGUAAAGUUUCUCUAAUUCAUCCCAUAGGGCCUUAGCAACAUCACGUUUGCCUGCUUUUCUUAAAACUUGAUCAGACAAAUGCAAAAUAAUGGAGGUAUAAGCAAGUUCAUCAGAUUCUUCCUUUUGAUCAUCUGUAAUGGUAUCAGGAAAUUCAUCUGUUAUUGCUUUAGAAACUUUUUGCUGAACUAAAACACCUCGUAUUUUUUGUUGCCAAAUGGGAAAAUCCCCUUUUCCAUCAAAAACACCAAGUUCAAAAGAUUUUUGUCAUGUUUUAUUGUGAAAAACUAACACACAGUGUUUCCCAAAAAAUUAAAACAAGACAGAUAAUCAACUUUUGAAAAAUCUGUGGAAUUUGAUCUUCACAAAAAAUUUAUGUUUUAGGUCACAAAAAAAUAAAAAAAUAUGCAGUCAAAUGAAUGAGCCACAAUUAUUUUAAUCACAAAUAAUUUCAAUCAAUAACAGGAUCAGUAGAUAUUUUAAUGUAAACACCACAAGAACCAGAAAAUGCAACAAUGCAGGCAAGAACCAUAUCUCAGUAUUAAAAAAUCAAUAUCUGCAGGACCUAGGGUUGAUCAAAUUCACCAGGAUUCCGUGAGAAUCAAGUUCUCAGGUCAAGGCUCAAUUUGAAUCAUCCAAACUUUAAUGAUCACAGGCAAAUAUAACGAGAUAUCACUAACUAAUGUAACAAGUUACAAUAUACAGCAAUUAAACAUAUCAACAUAGAGGCAUAUACUCAUAAAUGCAGAAUUAAGAGUGUGUACAGUCGUGUAGGGUUCAAGAAGUGCAAACCGAGGGUGGUUAAACAGUUAACCACUAGUUGAAAUCAGAAACAGGUUAUCGCAGAAGGGGAUAAGUGCUCUGCAGGUCACCAAAUUUCAAGUCAAGCCCUUACAGCUUCGAGUCCUUCCAAUCAAUUUCGAAGUUAGGGUUCCAGCUCAAGAACGAAUCCACAGGAACUUGUUUUUAAGGUUCUUUCACAGAUCAAGGCGAGGAGUCACAGAAUUCCCUCGCAUUUCAUAGUCCAGUAAUGAAUCAGCUCCACAGACCACUAGGUCGACUCAAAUCAAAACCUAGGGUUUCGCGAUCUACAGUCGAACACCUGGAAAUUAAUUUUCCAGUGUUCAAACCUUCAAUCAAAGACUCAAGAACGGACAUACAAGGCUGAUAUACAAGGCUCUGAUACCACUAUUAAUCCAAGAUAUGUUCAAUUUAUAUAUCAAAACUAUACACAGCAGAUUUACAGAAAACCUAAACCACUGGAUCAAGGUUUAGAUCUAUAUUUAGGUUCAGACCAUACGCCCUUUCGAACCAUCACAGAGGCACCUAACUCAGCAACACGAGCCCUCACAACCCCAAACACCAAGUCGCUUCACUGGAACCAAAAAUGGACAGAACACUUCCAACAGUUUACUCACACAAAGGAGACUAACACAAGGACACGAUUAUCACAAAGAUAAUCAACAGAAAUUCUCACAUAGAAAAGAAGAAAAGGUCAUAAAGACGAAGCCAUUGAAGGUUCCAGAAUACACAGAGAAAAAGAGAACAGAAAAAUGACCAUCCGAAUCCCAAACAAAGCAUAAGGGUCGAAUAUAUAGUAAAACCCAUCCACCGUUAGAUUGAGUGGGUUAAUCCAACGGUCCAAGAACGACUAGGGAUAUAUGGGCUGAAUAUUGGGCUCGGUUUAAGUAGGCCUUCUAGGUAUAUUAAUAAUGGACCAUCUAUUGAUUCCAUAUUGGGCCUUUUUCAUCACUGCCUAUUAGUUGGACUGAUCAAAUGGCAUCACAGCCCAUCAUGUAUGUUAGCGUAGUAGACGGGAAUAGGAGCAAGUAGUAGUGGGUUGUUUGCGGUUAAUCUAUACUGGCUAGUGUUUAGUUGAUUUUGAGAAACUCUCGGGUAGUUUUGAGAGAGUGGGCUAUUGAGAUGAAGACGAUGACUCUUGGAAGUUGUGUUUGGCAAUUUGUAUAUGGUGGCGGUUCUGGUGUUUGAAGAUGGGGUGAUGUUGGGAGCUAAUUUUUUUAUUUUUUAUUUUUUACCCAAAAGAUGCUGUCAGCGGUUGUUGUUGGAGGUUGUUUUAGCAAUUACAGUUUCAACAUUCUUUAACAGCAAAAUCCAGGUUUUAGCUCUGAUAAUAAAAUAUGAUUUAUCAAUUGAAAUAUUUAACAGAGAAAGAGAAAAGAAAUCUAAGAAAAAGAACAAUAGAAGAAGAAAGGAAAGAAGAAGAGAAGCAAGAAAGAGGGUAGAACAGGAGAAAAGCUGGGGAGAAGACCGAAGGAGAAGAGAUUUAGGUAGGAAGACGGGAGAAAACUUGUUAACCAAGCAUUUCAUUCAUAUUCAUCAAUCAUCACCUCCUUUGAAAUUACAUUACCAAUCUAUGAAAAUAGAGAAAAGGAACACCACAUAAAUCCUCCAUUUAAAAAUCACAUUUCAAAACUAAAAAACUUAUAAAAAUCUUUCAAAAAUAAGAUGAUAAUUAAAUUUAUUAAAUAUUUAAUUAUAAUAUAGGAUAAUUAAUCUACUUAUCCAACCCCACCCCAACCCAUCCACCCAUCAUAUCAAACCUUUCUCUUUCUCUCUCCAUCCCACCUCAUUUCCAACAACGACUCCGACAGCUUCUCCGGCGACUUUCGACGACGGCUCCGGCAACUUCUCCGACGAUAGCUCCGGUGACAUCCCACGAAGGCUCCAGCACAAUUCUGACGACUUAUCUCGUUUCGACAAACAUUCCGACGACCUCUCCGACCGUUCCAGGGACUUCCGAUGACCACUCACCUUUCCGCAGACUACCUUUUUUCUUCUCUUCUUUCUUGGCAAUGACUUGUGACCAAUUGCAUUAGAUCUAUAACAUGUGCACAUUGUGAUCUGUGAUAAGUUCUAUUAAAUCUGUGAGAUAAUCAGAUAGGAUGAAUAUGCAUAUGAUCAAUUUCAAAAGUAAGUAAUAAAGUUUGAAAUUUCACAAAUCAAAUAUUAUUAAAAUUUUAGUUAUGAAAUAAUUA
rnacentral:lncRNA from 1 species